rnacentral:tRNA from 1 species
GCAAGUGUAGUUUCAACUAAAACAUUAGACUGUGACUCCAAAAAUAGAAGUUAAACCCUUCUCACUUGCC